UACGUAGACUGCAAGCGUUAUUCGGAUUCACUGGGCGUAAAGGGUGCGCAGGUGGCCAAGUGUGUUAGGCGUGAAAGCCCGGGGCUUAACCCCGGAAUUGCACCUAAAACUACAUGGCUAGAGCAUUGGAGAGGGGAGCAGAAUUCACGGUGUAGCAGUGAAAUGCGUAGAUAUCGUGAGGAAUACCAGAGGCGAAGGCGGCUCCCUGGACAAUUGCUGACACUCAGGCACGAAAGCGUGGGGAGCAAAAGGG
rnacentral:rRNA from 1 species